rnacentral:rRNA from 1 species
AACGAACGCUGGCGGCGCGCCUAAUACAUGCAAGUCGAGCGAGAAGACGUAGCAAUACGUUUGUAAAGCGGCGAACGGGUGAGGAAUACAUGGGUAACCUACCCUCGAGUGGGGAAUAACUAGCCGAAAGGUUAGCUAAUACCGCGUACGCUCCUUGGACUUCGGUUCAGGGAGGAAAGCGAUACCGUGGGUAUCGCGCUCUUGGAUGGGCCCAUGUCCUAUCAGCUUGUUGGUGAGGAACGGCUCACCAAGGCUUCGACGGGUAGCUGGUCUGAGAGGACGAUCAGCCACACUGGCACUGCGACACGGGCCAGACUCCUACGGGAGGCAGCAGUAAGGAAUAUUGCGCAAUGGGCGAAAGCCUGACGCAGCGACGCCGCGUGGGGGAGUGAAGGUCUU